rnacentral:rRNA from 1 species
GACGAACGCUGGUGGCGUGCUUAACACAUGCAAGUCGAACGGGAUUUAGUAAACAGAAGCCUCGGUGGAAGAUUACUAAUGAGAGUGGCGAACGGGUGAGUAACGCGUGAGCAACCUGCCUAUGACAGUGGGAUAGCCUCGGGAAACCGGGAUUAAUACCGCAUAAAAUCGUAGAAACACAUGUUUUAACGGUCAAAGAUUUAUCGGUCAUAGAUGGGCUCGCGUCUGAUUAGCUAGUUGGUGAGAUAACAGCCCACCAAGGCGACGAUCAGUAGCCGGUCGGAGAGGAUGAACGGCCACAUUGGAACUGAGACACGGUCCAAACUCCUACGGGAGGCAGCAGUGGGGAAUAUUGCACAAUGGGGGAAACCCUGAUGCAGCGACGCCGCGUGAACGAAGAAGGUAUUCGUAUCGUAAAGUUCUGUCCUAUGGGAAGAUAAUGACAGUACCAUAGAAGAAAGCUCCGGCUAAAUACGUG